rnacentral:lncRNA from 1 species
AGCCUUGUGUUUGGUGGUUGGGAAAUUCCCAGCCAUGGGGGGCUGCAGGCAGGAAGGGGCUGCCCAGGUGUCCUGCACCCCAACUGAAGGGACUCCAUGAGGUUGGUUCCUGGGCAUCCCCUGCUGCCUGGAGCUGUCCCAGGCUGGACCUCAACCAUUCAUCAACCCUCAGGAGCAGUUGGGUGAGGAGCACCAGAAAUUCAAUGCUCCCUGGCGCUGCAUCCCCAGAGCCCUCCCAGCCUAAGAAGCCCCAUCUUUCUGUCUCCACGCAUGGAGAACUGCAGCUGUGAGGCCCAGGACCCUUAGCAGGACAUGCAGAGCUGGGCAGGGACCCAGGCUCAUGCUCCCAGCGUGGGGUAGGUGCAGACCUAGAUGCCAGGUGCAGAAGGGGGAAAGGGCCCUCUCCAGGGUUACAGCAGGGAUCACCGAGGCUGCAGGGGCUGCCAAGGCCUGGAAGAAGUCCCAUGUUCCAGGGAGCCCCAUGGCUUCUGAUGUCAGG